rnacentral:lncRNA from 1 species
UGUUUUGAAGAAUACUAUUUUUUUAAUUCUGAUUUCUAUGAUAAAAGGACGUAAGAGAACAACUGUAUCCUCUAACUUUUAUUAUAUAUGUAAAAAACUAUUGAAAAGAUCUUAAAUAAUACAUCAUCUAAAAAGAGUGUGAGAGUUUAAUAAUAUCUAACAAUAUUCUGGACACAAAAUGAAUCUGAAAGAUAUAAUUUGAAACAUUAAUAUCAUCUGAAAAAAUUCUAAAAAAUAUAUCCUCUAGAAAGAGUAUAAUAGUCUAAGUAUAAUAAUAUUAUGGACACAAGAUGAAUUUGAAAGAUAUCAUCUGAGACAUGGUAUAGAAUCUAGUAUAUCAUCAUCUGAGUGUGUGUCGUGAAAACUUUUCUUUGUUAUCUUCUGGUAAAAACUUUGAAAUGUAUCCUCUAAUAAAGAGUUACUCAAGUUAUCACAAUGCUCCGGUGGUCAACGGAAUUUUACAUAGUCAACACCUUGAUCCUCUUGUUUGAAGAUCUUAUUGCCUCCAUUGAGUUUAAUUAUAUCUAACAAUAUUUUGCACACAAAAUGAAUCUGAAAGAUAUAAUUUGAAACAUUGAUAUCAUCUGAAAAAAUUCUAAAAAAUAUAUCCUCUAGAAAGUGUAUAAUAGUCUAAGUAUAAUAAUAUUAUGGACACAAGAUGAAUCUGAAAGAUAUCAUCUGGGACAUGGUAUAGAAUCUAGUAUAUCAUCAUCUGAGUGCGUGUCGUGAAAACGUUUCUUUGUUAUCUUCUGGUAAAAACUUUGAAAUGUAUCCUCUAAUCAAGAGUUACUCAAGUUAUCACAAUGCUCUUGUGGUCAACAAAAUUUUACAUAGUCAACACCUUGAUCCUCUUGUUUGAAGAUCUUAUUACCUCCGUUGAGUUUAUCAUUUGGUGAUCAAUUAGUGAAUAUUUAAAAGUUAUUUUUUUGAGGAAUAAAUUUGAUGAUUUCAUUAUCAACGAAAUAAAUUGAAAUUUGAGAGACAACUAGUAAUAGUACAUAAGGUACAAAAUAUAAGGUGUGUGUGACACAAUAGUACAAGUAGUACGCGACAAUUCCUAAUGUGAGUAUAAAGUUAUGAAAUUAUUUUCCUAUAUAGUAUAAUAGACUACAACAAAUCUUAUUCAAAUGUUCAGCUCAAGAAAUUCUCAAAUCAAGAAAACCCUAUAUAUUCUCAAGUUUUCUCAAAAUUAUUUUCAAUACUCUACAAUAUUGAACAACAUUAUUUUUAAGAAUGAAGACAAAGGAAGAGAUUUCAUAUUCAAACAUAGAGAGAAAAAAUUCUACAUUGCUGAAGAAGAAAGAAACUAUUCAAAGCAUCAACUUAUUUUAUUAUAAAAACACUUUUUUUUUUGAAAGAUUAAAAACUUUUAUUUUUUAUUUAAAUUUGUUUACUUUUCCUGUUGAGUGAUAUUUAUUACUUCCUCUAUUGAGUGAUAUAUAUAUACAUAAACAAUUAUCAGUUAUUUUAUUGUAUUUUCUCAAUGGGCUAAAUUGUAGAAAGAUUCUUUGAAAAUACAGAGAGACUAAAUUGUAGUAAGCUCUUUGUGGUUGAGAAAUUUAAAAUAUAAGUCAACUGGACUAGAAUAUACCUUGGUAAAAUAGUAAUAAGUUAUAGUAUAGUGAAAGUAUCUCAUUUGUGAAAGUGUUGGAGCAAAAUUGGUUGAUAGCAUAUCCCUUGGGUUUUGAUGAUAACAAAGUAUUUAAAGAACAAUUGGGUAUUCUAACAUUUGUUCAAGUAUACAUGAUUAUAAAACUAAUAACAGAUGAAGAGAAGAUUGAUUGUUCUGCAUCUGAAGUUCAGACUCUGAUUCGGAAGAUCACUUUGAAGACCCUGGCUCUGAUGGAAGAUCCAGACUCUGAAGAAGUCAACUCUGAAGAAAGUCAACCUUUGGUGAUCCAAACUCUGUAGCUUCAGAAGUCAUGAAGCAGACUAUGAAGAAUCAAGUCUGAAAGAAGUCAACCUCUGAAAGUUGUAUCUCUUCAAUCGAGGCAACUCUGACAGACUCAGAGACCUUUUGAUCACAUGAAGACUUAAGGAAAAAUAUAUUCAUUGUUGUCUAAGCGUCAACAAUUAAUUCCUUUGCAGAAAGUUAUUUUAUUGAUGUGUCUAAUCAAGUACAAAGGUUAUCCAACCUUUUGGUGAAAGUCUUCAACGUCUCUUUUCUUUCUCUCUAUAUAAGGAGUAGAAUACCUGAAGAAGAAACACACAACUACACACUGCAUAACAAGACUCUGAACCUUGACAUUUCAAAGAGAAGUUACUCUAUAAAAAACAAGUUAGACUUAGAGCAUCUUAACACUUUGUAUAUUUUAGAAGUUCGUAAAUCUUAAAGUCUUUCUGAAUUAUGAGAUUUUGCACAUGCUGGUCUCAAACUAAGCUAGAGUUUUGAAUUGGCAAUCCUCCUAACCGAAUCAAUGUCUUAUGCAAGUUGACGAAGAACCAACCUGAGAUUUUUACUGGACUCAUUUGGAAAUCAUUGAGCUUUUAUUCAGACUAAACUUAAAAAUUGAGUGAGAUUUUAGACCAGACUAAUAUUGAACGGACUGAGCUUUUAACCAGGCUGAGUUCAAGAACUGAUGAGAAGAUUUUUCACUAGUUAUCAAGGCUAAGCAUAUCUUGCUUAUCUAUGAGUUUUGAUCACUUCUUGAUUAUACCUACAAGCACAUGGUUCCACACGACAUUCUAGAGCAGACCUACGACUAGGAUUACAAUUAUUAAAGGUAAGGGAAACAAUACCAUAAACCUUUGAGCGAACCAAAUGAAUGCGAGGAAAGAAAUACAAUCCAUUAUUAUCAAGGAAUCCUUCAAGGACAACAUGGUUAGAAACUUAAGAUUUCACAAAGCAUUUAUUAGCAAGAACUUCAAAACUGACACGAUUGUCUUUGACAAAUUUUGAAACAGAUAAUAUAUUUCUAGUUAUGGCAGGUACAUCAAGAAUUUUUUUAAGAACUAGCUUAGUGUUAGGCGAGGACUGAGGAACAAACCACGAUAAACCAAUAAACUUACUUUGACAAUUAUCUAUUUGAACUCUAUCAUUAGCUAAGUAUGCAGACUUAUGUUGUAUGAUGGAAUCAAAACAUGCAAUGGGAUGAGAGCACCUAAGUCAACAAACCGUACUUAGGACUCCAAUUCUCCUAGCAUGGAUUACUCAUCAGUGUAUGCUAGUUGAUAUGUUGUAACCAUCAUUGCAAUUGGAGUGUUGGAGUUAUUCAGUAUAGCAGACACCUCACCCUUGGUUUAGUUAUCAUUCAUAUGCGCGUUUUCACAAACACUUUGAGUGAUUGCUACAGGGACAAAGUAUUCAUCAUACUUGUGCCAGCACUUGAGCAUAACAUGUCCAUAUUUGCCACAAAGUUGUCAUGUUGGCUUGAUUCCUAAACUCCCUCCUCUAGAGUGACCAUGACCUCUAAAUUGUAUGUUUUGUCCAUGUCCACGCAUGCAAUAAGUUCCACGAUCAGGAGACCAAAAGUUAUUGCAUGAACUUAUCAAGUUAAGCUUCCAGAACAUAAAGUAACACUUCAACAUCAUAGAUUUUAGAAGGUUCACGACGACCAUACACUUGCAUCAAGAACAAAUUGUACUCUUUAGGAAGUCCAUAUUUUUCAUUAUUAUUAAUUAUGACCUCAAAAUAAAAAUAAAAAACUCAUUAGUAUUUUUUUUUUCAAAAUAAAUGUAUCUUUACGUUUAUAACAUUUAUUAUCAAUUUUCAUUACUAUGCAUUUUUUUAAAUUAAUUUUUAUUCUAUUUAAUUAUUCUACUAACAAAAGUCUCUUCUAAUUUAUAGUUCAAUUCAGCCUUAGACACACUAGUGUUAAAUCUUCAUUGAUUAUAAUUAAUAAAAAUAUCUUUAUAAUAAUACUAAAUUAUUAAAAUGAAAAUAUUUUUUUUUAAAUCACGCAUAAUCAAAUAAAAUGUUUAUUAAGAGAAGGAAGUAAGUAACAAAUUUAAUUUUCAAGUCACUUGAUUCAUACUUCAAAUUCAACAAAAGAAUUAUCAAAUCAAAUAUUGAACUAUGGUUAGAUUUAUUUUUACCCCUCCUUGAUUAACGGUGAAUCUACAUUGUAUCAAAAUUCAUUUUCCCACCUUUUUUAUUACACGCUCCUCGUGAUGCUCGUGUGACAGCGACUAUUAGUUGUUUUUUAUUCUUUUUCUAAUUGGUUAAAAUUCUUUAUCUUUCUAUGUUUUUUUCUUUCUUUUACAAGAAGUAGUCCCGCAUCAUCUACCCCCACUCAUUUCUAAAGCAAUAAGCAACUAACUUAGCAUCAUUCAAGUCAACCACUUUAUUAUCUUUUUUAUCAAUACAUCUUAUCAUAGUUGUCCCUUUUUAAAUAUUUUGUAUGGUUCUAAUUAUUUGGUUAUUUAAAAUAACAACACAAUAUUUUUUAAUAUAAUUUAAUUAUGUGUUAUCUCUAUUUUUUACUAUGUCAUUUUGAAGAAAAUUAAUAUAGGUUCAAUUAUAAAUCAUUUUAUCAUAUCAAUAAAUUAUUAAUGAUAUUUUUUCUAUUAUAUUUUUAUAUAUUUAUUAUUUUAUAUUUUAUAAUUAUUAAUAACAAGUAAUUUUGUAAAAUAUAUAAAAAUAGUAUUAGAAAAACACAAUAAAAGUGGAUAGUAUGUAAAAAAAAGGAGGUGUUUUAUUUAUUAUACAAUUUUCAAAUAACUAUUUAUCAUUUAUUAAUAUUAAUGGCUCAAUUAAUAUAUAGUAAUUGAAUUAAAUCAAUAUAAACUAUUAAUUUAUAGUUAUAUGGAUAUAUAUAUAUAUAUAUAUAUAUAUAUUAUAUAUAUAUAUAUAUUAUACUAUUAUAUAUAUUAUAUAUAUAUAUAUAUAAUUAAAAAAAACUACUACUACUAACAUUCUUUCCGAUCUAUUUAAAUAAAUUGCCAAAUUAAUUGUGAUAUUAAUUUUACUGAUAAAUUUAUAAAUUUAAGAUAUAAUGUAAGAGUAUAUAUUACUGAUUAUAGAAAUUAUGUAACAUAAUUAAAUAAUUUCUUUAAUUUAUAAAUAUAACAACUUAAUAUACUACAUUAUUAAAAAAAAAUCUAAAAAGCACAUAGAUUACAUUAAUUGAGUUCAACUAACACAACUACUCAAAAUUUGAUAAAGAAUAAUUAAUAUAUUUUAAAUUUUAAAUAGUCUUAUAAAAAGAGACAAAAUAAAUAAAUAAAGAGUGAACUAUAGAUGUUUGUUUGUUUCAGCUUUAAGAAUCUACCUUUUCUAGUUUUGUUUUCAAAAAUAAUUUUUAUAAAACUUUCUUAAAAUAGUAAGUAAUUUUAAAUUUAUUUUUUAUAAAUUUAAAAACUAAUUUUGACAUAUCAUAACAUAAAUAUUAAAAUAUAAUCAAAAUUAUAUAAUUUUUCAAAUGAUAUAUCUCAAAACUGUUUUUUUUUUAAAAAGUAACUCAAAAUAGUUUCAAAUUUGAGUUAUUAUUUCAAAUUUUCACGCUCUAUAAAAUGAUAAAAUAUUUAAAAUAAUAUUUUAUAAAAUACUAUUUAAAUAAUUUUUUAUUUAAAAUUUAAAAAAAAAUCUAAUUUUUUUAAAAUAAAAAAUAUAACUGUAUAAAAAUCAUUUUUUAAAAAGAUGAAAUAAACGGGCCAAAAAACAAAUGAUGUAUUAACAAAAAAAUUAAUAAAUAAAUAUCAUUUAAUCAUUGAACCAAUAAUUAUUUUAAGAACUGUUCAAAACUCAGAAAAUGAGACUAUGUGAUAUCAUCUCAGGUUAUAAAUACAGCAACAUCAACCACAAAAUUUGCAAGCAGCAGCAUCCCAAAAAGAAUUCAAGCAGCAAGAUGGCCACUUUUGAUAAAAACUUACUUCUAAAUUAUGUUCCAGUUUAUGUAAUGCUCCCAGUAAGUCAUCAUACACAUAAACCAGUGUGUUUCUAAGCUACCAAAUUCAAGCACUUUUAACAUAAAACAUUAAUAAAUAAAUAACUAGCUCAUAAAUACAUGUGCUUGUGUGUCUGUGUUUUUUUGUUGACUAAUAUUUAACAUGUUUUCUUUAAUUUUUCUCUGUAACAAUUUUUUUAGCUCGGAGUUGUUAGUGUUGAUAAUGUCUUGGAAGAUCCGGAGGGUAUUAAAGAAAAGCUGGUGAAGCUACGAGCAGCGGGCGUGGAUGGUGUUAUGGUUGAUGUCUGGUGGGGAAUCAUUGAAAAAAAUGGACCUAAGCAGUAUGAUUGGAGUGCUUACAGAAGCUUGUUUCAGCUCGUUCAAGAAAGUGGUCUGAAACUGCAAGCAAUCAUGUCAUUUCAUCAAUGUGGAGGGAAUGUAGGGGAUGUUGUAACCAUCCCAAUUCCACAAUGGGUACUUGACAUUGGACAAUCAGAUCCUGAUAUUUUCUACACCAACCGUUCCGGUACUAGGGACAAUGAGUAUCUGACUAAUGGUGUAGAUAACAAGCCUAUCUUUCAUGGAAGAACAGCCAUUGAGGUUGGUUCAACAUUGAAAUUAUAAUUAACUAUUUUUUAACUAACAACACUACUGUCAUAUGAUCUGCAAAUGCAGCUAUGUGACUCAUCUGGGCUGAUCUCGGCUGUCAGAUCUAAAUCAGUGGUUGAGAUCAGUUAAAAUUGGUUUAAUGAAUAUGUAAUUUGAGCUACUGGAUCUAAAGUCAAUGGCUUAGAUUUAAAACUGUGAAAAAAAUUGCUGCAGCUGAUUGGUUACUAUAGCGCGAUUAAAUAUAGUUCUUUCUUUACAUAGGUAUAUAGUGAUUACAUGAAGAGUUUCAGAGAAAACAUGUCAGAUUUUUUAAAAUCAGAGGUUAUUAUAGACAUUGAAGUUGGCCUUGGUCCAGCAGGAGAACUCAGAUACCCAUCCUAUCCUCAAAAUCAAGGAUGGGUAUUUCCUGGAAUCGGAGAAUUUCAGGUGAUUAUGACCUUGUUUUCAAACAAAAUUGUUUCUGGAAUUUCAAUUCAGCGCUAAAAUUCUAAUUAAAAAAAAUGAAACUAUGCAGUGUUAUGACAAAUAUUUGAAGGAAGAUUUCAAAUCGGCUGCAGCGAGUGCUGGCCAUUCUGAAUGGGAACUACCAGAUGACGCUGGCACGUACAAUGAUGUACCAGAAUCUACUGAAUUCUUCAAAACAAAUGGCACAUACCUCACUGAGAAAGGGAAAUUCUUCUUAACUUGGUACUCUAACCGAUUGCUGAAUCAUGGUGAUCAAAUCCUAGAUGAAGCUAACAAAGCUUUCUUGGGCUGUAAAGUCAAAUUAGCAAUCAAAGUAAAUUUCAUAAAACAACAAUUAAUUAAAGACAGUAGUUAGUUACCUUUGCUUUUUCCUGAUUAAUUAACCUAUAACUAUGAUAAAGGUUUCUGGAAUCCACUGGUGGUACAGAGCUCCGAAUCAUGCUGCUGAACUCACUGCUGGAUAUUACAACCUUGAUGAUCGAGAUGGAUACUGUCCCAUUGCUAAAACUGUGUCCCGUCAUCACGGCAUUAUGAACUUUACAUGUCUUGAGAUGAGGGACACGGAACAAAGCUCUGAUGCACAAAGUUCACCACAGAAACUUGUUCAGCAAGUAAUUCAUUACAAAUUUCUUUAAUUUGAUGUAUUGCUUGUUCUACGUAUUCUAUAUGAUGUGAAAUGUAAAAUGUUGUACAGAAGUGGUUAUUAAAUUGAAAAACGCGAGUAUAUGCGCAGGUAUUGAGUGGAGGUUGGAGAGAAAACAUUGAAGUUGCCGGAGAAAACGCACUUUCAAGGUAUGAUGCCACAGCUUAUAACCAAAUCUUACUAAAUGCAAGACCACAAGGUGUCAACAAAGACGGCCCUCCAAAACAUCGGAUGUAUGGAGUAACAUACCUUCGUCUAUCGGAAGAUUUAUUGCAACAAUCAAAUUUUGACAUAUUCAAAAAAUUUGUGUUAAAGAUGCAUGCAGAUCAGGUGAACAGAUAAUAUUUUUGAACUUGUCUUAAGUUUAAUAAUCACUUUGCUGCCUCUUAACCCUUUCCCCUCAAAUUGUAGGAUUACUGUGAAGAUCCUCAAGAGUACAAUCAUGGCAUACCACCAUUAGAACGAUCAGAACCAAAUAUUCCUGUUGAUGUUCUUCUUGAGGCAACUAGGCCAAUAGUGCCGUUCCCUUGGGAUUCAGAAACAGACUUAAAAGUUGAUGGCUAACUUCCCGAUUUGACAGGAAGAAUGGUUAUGGCACCGGCUCGAAAUAAUAUUUGAAUAAUGAAGCAAUGUCUAGACAUCUAGACAUUUCUUCUUGUGUGUAUUUUUUGUGUGUGCUUUCCUAUGUGCGAGUUUAAUAAGCCGUGUUUUAUCGAGAAACUCAACUCUGUUUAUAAAGACAUUAAUAUUAUCACCAUCUCCAUAAAAGUGAAAAAAUAUAUUUAAAUAGCAUAUUGCUUUUUUUCAUAAUCCUCUUACAAAAGUGCAUAUUUCUGUAACCAUAUCACUUAAAUAUUAUAUUGUGGUCAAUGGUCAUAUGAAGUUAAAUUAAAUUCUUAAUCUUAUAAAAAUUAUGAUGGCCCAAUUAAUUCAUCUUAAAACUAACUCAGUUGUUGAAUUCUAUAAUUGAAUGACAGGAUCUGCCAAAACCGAGACUUGACUCAGUCCACACUCGGGUUUGAGUUAUUGAAACACACAAAUUCUUACAAAAGAUGAUGCAAUAAGGACAUCCUAAAACAUUACCAUUACUAAAGACACUUGCAAAUUGCUCUUAUUUGUUAGGAUUUCAAUAUUUGAUGUGAACUCUAUGAAAUAAUUAAUAUUAUUGUAUCCAUGACAACCAAUCAAUCUCCUAAGACGGUUAUGCACAAUAAAGAAUAAUUAUUAAAAACUCAUUCUAAAAGACUUUAGAAGAAAACCAGAUGAGUUUUGUUCACAAACUCAAACCACUGUCUUUCAGACGCAUAGAUGUUGGAAAGGCAAACAUAACCUCUCACCCGUUUGGAUUCAUUUCAAAAAGCUUCUGAGCUGAUGUAUCAGUUAACUUGAGAUUCCGAUGUAAUCUGCAAGCAGAAAGAAGAGCAGCAGUGUUCAAUAUUAGGGUGAAACCAGCAAAAUGGAGAAUGUAAAAAGAAAUGGAGAUGCGGGGUAUCGAUCCCCGUACCUCUCGCAUGCUAAGCGAGCGCUCUACCAUCUGAG